UACAGGGGGGGCAAGCGUUGUUCGGAAUUACUGGGCGUAAAGGGUUCGUAGGUGGCCAACUAAGUCAGACGUGAAAUCCCUCAGCUUAACUGGGGAACUGCGUCUGAGACUGGAUGGCUUGAGUGCAGGAGAGGAACGCGGAAUUCCAGGUGUAGCGGUGAAAUGCGUAGAUAUCUGGAGGAACACCGGUGGCGAAGGCGGCGUUCUGGACUGCAACUGACACUGAGGAACGAAAGCCAGGGGAGCAAACGGG
rnacentral:rRNA from 1 species